UACAGAGGUCUCAAGCGUUGUUCGGAUUCAUUGGGCGUAAAGGGUGUGUAGGUGGCGCCGUAAGUCGGGUGUGAAAUUUCGGAGCUUAACUCCGAAACUGCAUUCGAUACUGCGGUGCUUGAGGACUGGAGAGGAGACUGGAAUUCCUGGUGUAGCGGUGAAAUGCGUAGAUAUCAGGAGGAACACCGGUGGCGAAGGCGGCUCUCUGGACGGUGACUGACGCUGAGACGCGAAAGCGUGGGGAGCAAACAGG
rnacentral:rRNA from 1 species